UUUCAUAGUUGCAAGGUAUUCCUUGCAAUUCCUCUUCCAGUGCCUAUCCUAGUCAUAGUGAUAGCAAGUACCUUUGAUGGAGAUCUUCUUUGCCUUCUUCUUGGAGAUACUAGCCUUAGGGUUCAUCUUUUUCUUAGAACCUUUCUUGCUUUUCUUCUUAUUGAUCUUAUCUAUAAGAAGAACUGGUGCCUUUUCACCUUUGAAAUGGCUCUCUGCUGUUUUGAGCAUAUUCAGCAGUUC
rnacentral:lncRNA from 1 species